ACCUUACCAAAUCUUGACAUCCUCUGACCCCUCUAGAGAUAGAGUUUUCCCCUUCGGGGGACAGAGUGACAGGUGGUGCAUGGUUGUCGUCAGCUCGUGUCGUGAGAUGUUGGGUUAAGUCCCGCAACGAGCGCAACCCUUAAGCUUAGUUGCCAUCAUUAAGUUGGGCACUCUAAGUUGACUGCCGGUGACAAACCGGAGGAAGGUGGGGAUGACGUCAAAUCAUCAUGCCCCUUAUGAUUUGGGCUACACACGUGCUACAAUGGACAAUACAAAGGGCAGCGAAACCGCGAGGUCAAGCAAAUCCCAUAAAGUUGUUCUCAGUUCGGAUUGUAGUCUGCAACUCGACUAUAUGAAGCUGGAAUCGCUAGUAAUCGU
rnacentral:rRNA from 1 species